AUGUUUUGGUUUCUCAUUUUUCAUCCGUUUUCAUUCUUCCAGCACUUUUAAUUGCGUCGCACGUUCUCCCUUCCGUUUUCCUUCGAUUUUGUAAACCUUCAGUGGCUAGAUGGAAAUUGAAUGAAGCGUUUGCCUUGCGUUUGCGUUUUUUCUUCAGCUUCCAGGCCUAUCAAGUUCUCAGCAGGUGCACUUCUAUUUAACCGUUUGCCUAGGAGACGACAACGUGCGGCCACAAAAGGGCUCCCAUGAAGUCCUCAGUAGGGAGAGUUGCCCGUGAAAUCGCCGUUGGGGGGUUCUCUAAGGACAAAGUCAAGCGAACCUUAAGUCAUGUAUGAUACUGGAUAGAGAGGAACAUUGUGGACCAAUAAGAAGGGGUGGAAUGCAGAGACCAGUACGACGAUUAAUUGAAGAACAUCAGAGGCUUUGAGGGAAUCCAAGGUGAAGUCAAGUAGAGUCAUUCAAUUUAUUUUAAGCGUUCCUUCUAUUAUAUGUGUUCACAGCAUAAGAUGCCUUAUUAUUGUUACUUUAGGACAAUGAGAAACAAAAAAAAUUGCGUGUUUCUUCCUCUCCUUAUUAUAAGCAUUCAAAAGGUGGUCGCCAAUCGCCAUUGGGGGUUAGAGAUUGAGGGCAGAGUCUGAAUGGUCCCAGGCGCACAGGAGGGAUCGAAGGGAUCGGAAAGGAUAUCAACAUGAGUGCUCUAUCAGUCAUUAUUUAAUUAUUAAUAGUUUCAGCGCAUAUGAAUUUAAACUUGAAUUUUGAAAUUGGUUGUUCAACAUGCAUUCUACUACGUGGGAAAGGCUAUCAUGUCCAAUGAGGAAUUUGAUAAUCUCAAAUGUGGGAAAAGAGCAGUGUUGAUGCUAGGUUCUGAUGAGCAAAAAUUCUUGGAAGCAGCUAUGGCCUAUGGGCCUGAAAAACCAAUCAUGAGCAAUGGAGAUUAUGUUGAUUUAAAACAGAGGCUAAAGCAAAAAGAAUAAUAUUAUAAGCAACUUGGUGAGCCAAGCAUGAAGGAAAGCAACUUGGAAACCCAGUUGAGAAAGUCAAUUUGAAUCUGCUAGAGACAAGCAACGAUGGCAGCAAUGGCUAUUGUCAUAAAAGAAAAGCAAAGAGUGUUCAUACUCCCCUUAUAUUUCUCUGAGUCUGACUAACAAUUGUCCUUAUACUGGCCUAAUGGUGCCUCCUAAGUCCUAACAUAUCCUUUUUACUCUGCAUUCAUUUUACAUUUGGCUGUCUGAGGAGAACUUAUGAAUGAAAUGGUAGGAGGUGUCCAUGGCUGCAAAUUCAAGAAAACACACAUUGGAGGCUUUGGAGAGAACAAUUGUUGUUGCUUAAAAUUAAAUUUUCUCAAAAGAAAAGAAGAGCAAAAAAGCUAUAAAUAUAAGCACGGAUAUGGCAGGAAUCAUUAUCAACUCGGAUGGGGGUUCUGAUGAGUCCUAACCACCUGUCUUGAAUGUUUAGAAGCUUACACAAAUGAGCUCUACAUGUAUGUUGAUUUGGUGUUUCAUUCAAUCCUAUUAACUUCAUCGUCCCUGCAAUCAAACAAGGAGAAGAAAGAUGUUUAUUUUCAAAUAUCUAUCAAUGUAUCACCAUAAAGUUCUUAAAAUCUUUUGUUGUUUGAUUCCAAAAACAACAAUGAGACUUCAUCUGGGUAUUCUGGAACGGAAACCAGUUGGACAAGAACAACCCAUAAACUAAUAGAAAUUAAAAAGUAAAAGAAAAGAACAGAAAAAAAAGGAAUAGAAAUUAAAACAGUGAAAGUCUUCUCUUUUUAUUUAUUUCUUUGUGUGGGGUGAAAUAGUUAUAAAUGAAACUAUUCCCUCAAUUUUUUUAGGGAAUUGACUAUUUCAUCUUUUGUUAAACAG